rnacentral:sRNA from 1 species
AGCGCCUGUGGCGGGUCCGGCACGUUCCCUAUGAGGCUUCGCAGGCAGCCGGAAUGUGUACGAUCUUGUACAUCCAAGUAUUUACUUGGAUUUAAUGAUUUCU